rnacentral:rRNA from 1 species
UGUCGGAUUAGCUAGUUGGUGAGGUAAUGGCUCACCAAGGCAGCGAUCCGUAGCUGGUCUGAGAGGAUGAUCAGCCACAUCGGGACUGAGACACGGCCCGAACUCCUACGGGAGGCAGCAGUGGGGAAUAUUGGACAAUGGGGGCAACCCUGAUCCAGCCAUGCCGCGUGUGUGAAGAAGGCCCUCGGGUUGUAAAGCACUUUCAGCGAGGAAGAACGCCUAGUGGUUAAUACCCAUUAGGAAAGACAUCACUCGCAGAAGAAGCACCGGCUAACUCCGUGCCAGCAGCCGCGGUAAUACGGAGGGUGCAAGCGUUAAUCGGAAUUACUGGGCGUAAAGCGCGCGUAGGUGGCUUGAUAAGCCGGUUGUGAAAGCCCCGGGCUCAACCUGGGAACGGCAUCCGGAACUGUCAGGCUAGAGUGCAGGAGAGGAAGGUAGAAUUCCCGGUGUAGCGGUGAAAUGCGUAGAGAUCGGGAGGAAUACCAGUGGCGAAGGCGGACUUCUGGACUGACACUGACACUGAGGUGCGAAAGCGUGGGUAGCAAACAGGAUUAGAUACCCUGGUAGUCCACGCCGUAAACGAUGUCGACCAGCCGUUGGGUGCCUAGCGCACUUUGUGGCGAAGUUAACGCGAUAAGUCGACCGCCUGGGGAGUACGGCCGCAAGGUUAAAACUCAAAUGAAUUGACGGGGGCCCGCACAAGCGGUGGAGCAUGUGGUUUAAUUCGAUGCAACGCGAAGAACCUUACCUACCCUCGACAUCGACAGAAGCCGAGAGAGAUCUUGGUGUGCCUUCGGGAACUGUCAGACAGGUGCUGCAUGGCUGUCGUCAGCUCGUGUUGUGAAAUGUUGGGUUAAGUCCCGUAACGAGCGCAACCCUUGUCCUUAUUUGCCAGCGCGUAAUGGCGGGAACUCUAAGGAGACUGCCGGUGACAAACCGGAGGAAGGUGGGGACGACGUCAAGUCAUCAUGGCCCUUACGGGUAGGGCUACACACGUGCUACAAUGGCCGGUACAAAGGGCAGCGAGCUCGCGAGAGUCAGCGAAUCCCUUAAAGCCGGUCUCAGUCCGGAUCGGAGUCUGCAACUCGACUCCGGAAGUCGGAAUCGCUAGU